rnacentral:rRNA from 1 species
AACGAACGCUGGCGGCAGGCCUAAUACAUGCAAGUCGAACGGGCGUAGCAAUACGUCAGUGGCGGACGGGUGAGUAACACGUGGGAACAUGCCUUUCGGUUCGGAAUAACGCAGGGAAACUUGCGCUAAUACCGGAUGACCCGGCGACGGAAAAGAUUUAUCGCCGAAAGAUUGGCCCGCGUAGGAUUAGCUAGUUGGUGAGGUAACGGCCCACCAAGGCGACGAUCCUUAGCUGGUUUGAGAGAACGAUCAGCCACACUGGGACUGAGACACGGCCCAGACUCCUACGGGAGGCAGCAGUAGGGAAUCUUGGACAAUGGGGGAAACCCGUGAUCCAGCCAUGCCGCGUGAGUGAUGAAGGCCUUCGGUUG